UACGUAGGCAGCAAGCGUUGUUCGGAGUUACUGGGCGUAAAGGGUGUGUAGGCGGUUGUUUAAGUUUGAUGUGAAAUCCCGGGGCUCAACCCUGGAAUUGCAUUGAAUACUACCUUGCUAGAGUACCGGAGAGGAAACUGGAAUUUACGGUGUAGCAGUGAAAUGCGUAGAGAUCGUAAGGAAGACCAGUGGCGAAGGCGAGUUUCUGGACGGUAACUGACGCUGAGGCACGAAGGCCAGGGGAGCAAACGGG
rnacentral:rRNA from 1 species